GAUGCCAAGGGCCUAAUUAGGCAUCUGGUCAGUUUCCUUUGCUUCGGAUUCCUGAUGCGCCAAAAGGAAGUGAUUCAUCUGGACCAUUCCCUCUACCAAGUGCCCUCAUGGGGGCUCAGCGAGGACCCACUAAGCCCCUCCCCGCUACCAGCCGCUUCGUUCCACAGCAGGGAGAAGAGAGGGCAGAGAAAGAAGCUGGGAAUCAAGGGUAAAGGGAAUAACAGAUACAAGAGGGGGAAGCUAAGAGGUCAAGACGAAGAAGAAAGAAGGAGAACCAUAAAACCCACAGGAGCAAUGACCACGAAUGAAGUGGAGACUUGACCAUGAAACCAGGGAAACUGCUACAGAAUGGGGGUUCUCUAAAUGCAGAAAGAUGCCUGUCCUGAUCCGUCUGAAAAGUCCCUUCACGGUGAAGCUGGUGAGAAGCAAGGAUAGAUGUCACCUCUCCUCUCCCCAGCCCUCCCGCUGCCAGAGACUUGCCUCUCUUCCUUCUCGCCUACUGAACUCCGUGUGCACCAAAUUAUUCCAAGGAACAUCCAGCUCUCCUUAGACUGAAGGAGUUGUCAACCUCUUAGCCAGGACAACAUUUGCCAAUAAAGACCUGCCUGUGUCCCAAA